rnacentral:rRNA from 1 species
CAAGCGGUGGAUGAUGUGGUUUAAUUCGAUGCAACGCGAAAAACCUUACCCACCUUUGACAUGUACGGAAUUUGCCAGAAAUGGCUUAGUGCUCGAAAGAGAACCGUAACACAGGUGCUGCAUGGCUGUCGUCAGCUCGUGUCGUGAGAUGUUGGGUUAAGUCCCGCAACGAGCGCAACCCUUGUCAUUAGUUGCUACAUUUAGUUGGGCACUCUAAUGAGACUGCCGGUGACAAACCGGAGGAAGGUGGGGAUGACGUCAAGUCCUCAUGGCCCUUAUAGGUGGGGCUACACACGUCAUACAAUGGCUGGUACAAAGGGUUGCCAACCCGCGAGGGGGAGCUAAUCCCAUAAAACCAGUCGUAGUCCGGAUCGCAGUCUGCAACUCGACUGCGUGAAGUCGGAAUCGCUAGUAAUCGUGGAUCAGAAUGUCACGGUGAAUACGUUCCCGGGUCUUGUACACACC